rnacentral:lncRNA from 1 species
GAAAGUGUUUAACAAUAUCGAGCAACAUGCUACUGACAAGACACAAAACACAAUGGAAUGAUAAAGACUAAGAAUGAAUAACCUAAGGUUCAACUGUAGUUACUUGCUGCCAUUUACCACCGGUUCCUUCUUUCCACAAGGUAAUAUGGUUAUUCCCAUCAGAAACAGCCAACAAGUCUCCAGUCAAUGACCACGAAACCUUCCAGAUGGGAGUCUUAAAAUCAUUCACCAGUGUAGCAUCCCAUUUCCCUCCUUCCUUUGUUGACCAAAUAAUCACUGUCCCAUCCUGAGAACCACUUGCAAUGGUGGAUUUUUGAAGCCCUAGGUUUGGCGACCAAGCCACAUCUCUCACCCAAUCAGUGUGAAUCUGAAGGGAAAGGGAGGAAUCCCUCCUCCAGCUUCCAUCUUUGAGUGUCCAAACCUUCACUGAACUAUCGAAGCCCCCGGAAGCUAGCUUCCAAACAGGAUCCUCUGAACUGGAUCCAACUAAGGAACCAGGAGCCGUCAUAGGGCCCCAUGAAACUGAGGUUACUCCAACAGGGUGGGCUUGUUCAAUUGGAUUAUUGUCCCAGCCACCAUCAGAUCUGGCAAUAAAGACCGAUAUACUUCCAUCAGAUGAUCCACAGGCCAAACAGAGGCCAAGUUCAUGUGGUGCCCAGGCAAUAGAGUUCACCG